AACGAACGCUGGCGGCAUGCCUAACACAUGCAAGUCGAACGAAGCCUUCGGGCUUAGUGGCGCACGGGUGCGUAACGCGUGGGAAUCUGCCCCUUGCUUCGGAAUAACAGUUAGAAAUGACUGCUAAUACCGGAUGAAGUCUUCGGACCAAAGAUUUAUCGGCAAGGGAUGAGCCCGCGUAGGAUUAGGUAGUUGGUGGGGUAAAGGCCUACCAAGCCGACGAUCCUUAGCUGGUCUGAGAGGAUGAUCAGCCACACUGGGACUGAGACACGGCCCAGACUCCUACGGGAGGCAGCAGGGGGGAAUAUUGGACAAUGGACGCAAGUCUGAUCCAGCCAUGCCGCGUGAGUGAUGAAGGCCUUAGGGUUGUAAAGCUCUUUUACCAGGGAUGAUAAUGACAGUACCUGGAGAAUAAGCCCCGGCUAACUCCGUG
rnacentral:rRNA from 1 species